rnacentral:misc_RNA from 1 species
GCGCCUUCAAAUCUCCACCCCCAUUUUCAUUUUCUUUCAAACAAUUCAAGAUCAUUUCUUUCUAUUGCAUGAUGUCUCUGAUCCGAUUCUCAAUAUCUCCUACCACUUCCGUUCGUUCCUCGCCCUUCUCCUUCCCCAGCUCACAAUUGCACCCGAUCGUGUGCUCCCCCAUCACCAAAGACUCAUUCUCUUCUUCUUCUUCCUCUUCUAAGCUCUUAAACUCAAGCUCAACAAGCAGCUUUUCACUGUCUUUGAAGGAUGUCAAGAGGAACUGUUGGGCUUUCAGGGUGAGGUCGAGCUUGGAUACUGUGGGUCCUACAGCUACUGUGGGACAGGUUACUGAGGUCACCAAGGAUACCUUCUGGCCCAUCGUCAAGUCCGCCGGCGAUAAGAUUGUCGUCCUUGACAUGUACACUCAAUGGUGUGGACCUUGUAAGGUGAUGGCUCCCAAAUUUAAAGAUUUGUCACAGAAGUACCUUGAUGUUGUCUUCUUAAAGCUUGAUUGCAACAAAGAUAACAAGCCAUUGGCAAAGGAGCUUGGCAUAAGGGUGGUGCCUACUUUCAAGAUUCUCAAGGACAGCAAGAUUGUAAGGGAAGUGACAGGAGCCAAAUUUGAUGAUUUAGUGGUUGCCAUAGAGGGUGUUAGAUCCAGCUGAUUCUCCUUUCUCCAGUAAAAAAGUAAAUAAAAAAAAUUAAAAAAAAAACUGAACAGAAUAAAAAGAAUACCCGAACAAUAAGAUCAGAAGAAUUGAAGAAAGGAGAGGAAGGAAGAGAGAAAAAGAAGAAAAUAAGCAAAAAAGAAAUAAAAAAGGAGGGCAAAAUGAUGAUACUGCUGUGAAGGAAGAACAAAAUAGGAGGAGGAAAAGAAAGAGAGGAAAGAAGAAGAAGAACAGGAGAGAAAGAGAGAAACAGGAAGG